AGAGUUUGAUCCUGGCUCAGGAUGAACGCUAGCUACAGGCUUAACACAUGCAAGUCGAGGGGCAGCAUGAACUUAGCUUGCUAAGUUUGAUGGCGACCGGCGCACGGGUGAGUAACACGUAUCCAACCUGCCGAUGACUCGGGGAUAGCCUUUCGAAAGAAAGAUUAAUACCCGAUGGCAUAAUUCUUCCGCAUGGUAGAACUAUUAAAGAAUUUCGGUCAUCGAUGGGGAUGCGUUCCAUUAGGUUGUUGGCGGGGUAACGGCCCACCAAGCCUUCGAUGGAUAGGGGUUCUGAGAGGAAGGUCCCCCACAUUGGAACUGAGACACGGUCCAAACUCCUACGGGAGGCAGCAGUGAGGAAUAUUGGUCAAUGGACGAGAGUCUGAACCAGCCAAGUAGCGUGAAGGAUGACUGCCCUAUGGGUUGUAAACUUCUUUUAUACGGGAAUAAAGUGAGGCACGUGUGCCUUUUUGUAUGUACCGUAUGAAUAAGGAUCGGCUAACUCCGUGCCAGCAGCCGCGGUAAUACGGAGGAUCCGAGCGUUAUCCGGAUUUAUUGGGUUUAAAGGGAGCGUAGGUGGAUUGUUAAGUCAGUUGUGAAAGUUUGCGGCUCAACCGUAAAAUUGCAGUUGAUACUGGAUAUCUUGAGUGCAGUUGAGGCAGGCGGAAUUCGUGGUGUAGCGGUGAAAUGCUUAGAUAUCACGAAGAACUCCGAUUGCGAAGGCAGCUUGCUGGACUGUAACUGACGCUGAUGCUCGAAAGUGUGGGUAUCAAACAGGAUUAGAUACCCUGGUAGUCCACACAGUAAACGAUGAAUACUCGCUGUUUGCGAUAUACAGUAAGCGGCCAAGCGAAAGCGUUAAGUAUUCCACCUGGGGAGUACGCCGGCAACGGUGAAACUCAAAGGAAU
rnacentral:rRNA from 1 species